UGGGGAAUUUUGGACAAUGGGCGAAAGCCUGAUCCAGCAAUGCCGCGUGUGUGAAGAAGGCCUUCGGGUUGUAAAGCACUUUUGUCCGGAAAGAAAUCCUUGGCUCUAAUACAGUCGGGGGAUGACGGUACCGGAAGAAUAAGCACCGGCUAACUACGUGCCAGCAGCCGCGGUAAUACGUAGGGUGCAAGCGUUAAUCGGAAUUACUGGGCGUAAAGCGUGCGCAGGCGGUUUGCUAAGACCGAUGUGAAAUCCCCGGGCUCAACCUGGGAACUGCAUUGGUGACUGGCAGGCUAGAGUAUGGCAGAGGGGGGUAGAAUUCCACGUGUAGCAGUGAAAUGCGUAGAGAUGUGGAGGAAUACCGAUGGUGAAGGCAGCCCCCUGGGCCAAUACUGACGCUCAUGCACGAAAGCGUGGGGAGCAAACAGGAUUAGAUACCCUGGUAGUCCACGCCCUAAACGAUGUCAACUAGUUGUUGGGGAUUCAUUUCCUUAGUAACGUAGCUAACGCGUGAAGUUGACCGCCUGGGGAGUACGGUCGCAAGAUUAAAACUCAAAGGAAUUGACGGGGUCAUAGCUG
rnacentral:rRNA from 1 species